AACGAACGCUGGCGGCAUGCCUAACACAUGCAAGUCGAACGAGACCUCAGUAACUAGUUGCGCUCGGGUGCGUAAAGCGUGGGACGCUGCCCUUAGGUUCGGAAUAAUACUCUUAAAGGGGUGCUAAUACCGGAAAAUGUAUUCGGAUACAACAUUUAUCGCCUUUGGGAGAGCCCGAGUUGGUUUGACCUUUGGGUAUUGGAAAAGCCUAUCAAGGCGACGCUCCCUAGCUGGUUAGAGAGGAAGCGCAGCCACACUUCGACUGUGACGCGGCCCAGACUCUUACGCGAGGCAGCAGAGGAGAAUAUUGGACAAUGGGCGAAGUCCUGAACCAGCUAUGCCGCGUGAGUGAUGAUGUCGUGAGGGUUAUGAAGCUCUUUUACCCGGGAUUAUAAUGACGGUACCGAGAGAAUAAGCUCCGGCUAACUCCGUG
rnacentral:rRNA from 1 species